AUUGAACGCUGGCGGCAGGCUUAACACAUGCAAGUCGAACGGUAGCAGGAAGAAAGCUUGCUUUUUUUGCUGACGAGUGGCGGACGGGUGAGUAAUGCUUGGGAAUCUGGCUUAUGGAGGGGGAUAACUGUGGGAAACUGCAGCUAAUACCGCGUAUAAUCGAGAGAUGAAAGGGUGGGACCGCAAGGCCACUUGCCAUAAGAUGAGCCCAAGUGGGAUUAGGUAGUUGGUGGGGUAAGGGCCUACCAAGCCUGCGAUCUCUAGCUGGUCUGAGAGGAUGGCCAGCCACACUGGGACUGAGACACGGCCCAGACUCCUACGGGAGGCAGCAGUGGGGAAUAUUGCGCAAUGGGGGGAACCCUGACGCAGCCAUGCCGCGUGAAUGAAGAAGGCCUUCGGGUUGUAAAGUUCUUUCGGUGAUGAGGAAGGGGUAUUAUUGAAUAGAUAAUAUCAUUGACGUUAAUUACAGAAGAAGCACCGGCUAACUCCGU
rnacentral:rRNA from 1 species